rnacentral:rRNA from 1 species
UAUGUGAUCGUCUCUCGCAUAUCAAUAAGCGGAGGAAAAGAAACUAACAAGGAUUCCCCUAGUAACGGCGAGUGAAGCGGGAAGAGCUCAAAUUCGAAAUCUUAAAGGGUUUCCCUUUACGAAUUGUAGUUUAAAGAAGUGUUUUCUGUUGAGGUUUUGGUAAAAGUUCUUUGGAAUAGGACAUCAUAGAGGGUGAGAAUCCCGUAUUUGACCUCUACUUUCAACUUUGUGAUACACUUUCAAAGAGUCGGAUUGUUUGGGAAUGCAGUCCAAAAUGGGUGGUAAAUUUCAUCUAAAGCUAAAUAUUGGCGAGAGACCGAUAGCGAACAAGUACCGUGAGGGAAAGAUGAAAAGAACUUUGAAAAGAGAGUUAAACAGUACGUGAAAUUGUCAAAAGGGAAGCGUUUGACACCAGUGUUGUUUUUCUGAAAAUCAAUUAAAGAACUGUUUAUGCUAAGCUGUUUAGACUUUAUCAGCUAUCUGUUUAGUUUUGAGCUUUUCUUUAAUGCACUUUUCAGUUAACAAGUCAACAUCAAUUUCUUUUGCUGUAAAAAAGCUUGAGGAAGGUGGCUUGAGAUUCGUCUUAAGUGUUUAUAGCCUCUUGCCUAUGCAGUCGGAGAGAUUGAGGUCUGCAGCGUAGAUCCUUCGGGGCUAAAUGCAUUUGUGCUAAGUUAUAGCAUUUUAUAGACAACUUGUUGACUAUGAUUUGUCUUGUAGCUUACUCGCUUAUGUUAUUUUACCUACGCUUAGGAUGUUGACUGAUAUGUAGUCGUA